GGGAAUAUUGCACAAUGGGCGGAAGCCUGAUGCAGCAACGCCGCGUGCGGGAUGACGGCCUUCGGGUUGUAAACCGCUUUCGCCUGUGACGAAGCGUGAGUGACGGUAAUGGGUAAAGAAGCACCGGCUAACUACGUGCCAGCAGCCGCGGUGAUACGUAGGGUGCGAGCGUUGUCCGGAUUUAUUGGGCGUAAAGGGCUCGUAGGUGGUUGAUCGCGUCGGAAGUGUAAUCUUGGGGCUUAACCCUGAGCGUGCUUUCGAUACGGGUUGACUUGAGGAAGGUAGGGGAGAAUGGAAUUCCUGGUGGAGCGGUGGAAUGCGCAGAUAUCAGGAGGAACACCAGUGGCGAAGGCGGUUCUCUGGGCCUUCCCUGACGCUGAGGAGCGAAAGCGUGGGGAGCGAA
rnacentral:rRNA from 1 species